rnacentral:rRNA from 1 species
AUUGAACGCUGGCGGAAUGCUUUACACAUGCAAGUCGAACGGCAGCACGGGGCAACCUGGUGGCGAGUGGCGAACGGGUGAGUAAUAUAUCGGAACGUGCCCAAUCGUGGGGGAUAACGUAGCGAAAGUUACGCUAAUACCGCAUACGAUCUACGGAUGAAAGCGGGGGAUCGCAAGACCUCGCGCGAAUGGAGCGGCCGAUAUCAGAUUAGGUAGUUGGUGGGGUAAAGGCUCACCAAGCCAACGAUCUGUAGCUGGUCUGAGAGGACGACCAGCCACACUGGAACUGAGACACGGUCCAGACUCCUACGGGAGGCAGCAGUGGGGAAUUUUGGACAAUGGGCGCAAGCCUGAUCCAGCCAUUCCGCGUGCAGGAUGAAGGCCUUCGGGUUGUAAACUGCUUUUGUACGGACGAAACGGUACUGCCCUAAUACGGCAGGCUAAUGACGGUACCGUAAGAAUAAGCACCGGCUAACUACGUGCCAGCAGCCGCGGUAAA